ACAACUUAUUUUAGAUGUGAUGCUCGUACGAGGUACGUUUUUCUGAAGUCUUAAUUUACAUCGAAUCCCAACACUUCUUUGUAUAGUUUGUAUAGUUCUCCGUUAUGGUCGAAGGCCUCAAGGACACUUGUCAUGUAUAAAUUCCGAUCAAAUAAUAAAAAUUUAACAGUACGAUUGUGAAACCUAAGGGUGGAAGUAGCCUUAACCUCACUGCAAAUUUUGUGGAUUUCAAAUAAAAAUGUUUGCCAAAUUGGUGUUCCUUUUCGCCAUCAUUGCAGUAGCCCUGGCCAGGCCACAGCUGUACUCCGGCUAUGGGUACAGCGGGUACCCUGGUGCCUACCCUGGAUACGGGGGUUAUUCGGGUUACUCUAACCCCCUGUCCUACGGCGGUUAUGGGGGCUACUCGAGCUAUCCAUACAACUAUGGCAGUUACGGGGCUUACUGAUUUCAAUAGCGUUUAGUUUAUGAUUUACUAAUAAGUUCAAUUCGAUGUAAAACUUUUUUUUUUAUGUUGAGGUAUUUUGUAAUAUGAGUUAUAAAGUCAUGAACACACGUGUAUGCGAUGUCGCUGCUAAUUCAACGACGCCAUUCUUCUAUAGUCUAUGUGUGCGAGCCUUUAACGCACGAUAGUAAGGGAUUUUUUUUUUAAUUUUUGUUUUGUACAAUAUUUAAAAUAUAGUAUGUUACCAAAA